AGUGAACGCUAGCGGCGUGCUUAACACAUGCAAGCCGAACGCGAAAGGGACUUCGGUCCUGAGUAAAGUGGCGCACGGGUGAGUAACGCGUGGAUAAUCUGCCCUUAUGAUUGGAAUAACAGUUGGAAACGGCUGCUAAUACCGGAUACGCUCAAAAUGAACUUUUUGAGGAAAGAUGGCCUCUGCUUGCAUGCUAUCGCAUAAGGAUGAGUCCGCGUCCCAUUAGCUUGUUGGCGGGGUAACGGCCCACCAAGGCAUCGGUGGGUAGCCGAUUUGAGAGGAUGAUCGGCCGCACUGGAACUGAAGCCCGGUCCAGUCUCCUACGGGAGGCAGCAGUGGGGAUUAUUGCGCGAUGGGCGAAAGCCUGACGCAGCGACGCCGCGUGAGGGAUGAAGGUUUUCGGGUCGUAAACCUCUGUCAGAAGGGAAGAAACUACGUUGUGCUAAUCAGCAGCGUACUGACGGUACCUUCAAAGGAAGCACCGGCUAACUCCGUGCCAGCCGCCGCAGUAA
rnacentral:rRNA from 1 species